rnacentral:lncRNA from 1 species
CGGCAGAGCAGCGGGAGCUGAGCGCCGAGCUCGCGACCGUACAGGGAGCGCCGGUCUGCCCCGCCCUGGACCCAACCAAGCGUCCCGUGGAGGGGUGCGGCCACUUGGGGGCAGGAGAAAACGGAGUAAGCCACCCUUCUGGGCACCCAGGAAGCGAGGCGAGCCUCAGGUGGACGCGGUGGUGUAGACCACGACGAUCAGGGCCGUUCCCCGUGCUGUGGAGACGGAGGUACGAGGGGACCCCGGCGGCUCCCCACCUUCUGGCCGAAUGGCCCUCUCCGCCGCCGGCUCGGCUCCCUCGGGGCGCUCCCUCCGGAGCCGAGUCUGGCUGGCCCGGGCGGCUGUUUGGCCUGAGCGUCGUCUUACUAAAGCGGAACGCCGGAGGGGAGGCCACUCCGAGAGGAGGCGGUCCCCAGCGGAGGAGGCUUCGUGAAUCCCGCAGCCACUUGCCCGCCCGCCACUCGGGACGCCGCGCCUCGUGGGUUUCACGCUGGAUGGAGGGGCGCCUCCGAGGAGGCCCAGCCUCCCCCGCUAACUCUGCCUCUCCAGUUCCUCAGGUCGAGGGCUGCCCUGGGACUGAGCCUGUGCCUAGGUCAAGAGAGGUAGGAUUGCCAGCUGAAGGACAAGUCAGCGCUUGUACAGGACUGUCCACCACAACUGCAGAUGAAACUAGAGGCGGACUGCAGGCACGUGAUGCUCGCACCAGCGAUGACUCUAUAGCCACAUACAGCCGGAUGCGGAAGAGCUCAAUCCUCUAUCUGAACAUGACAUUCCGGCUUAAAAACUUUCAGUGCUUUCUAUGCCGACUGAGCAGGGUAGAGGAAUGGGCUUCAGACUCUUCAGGCCCUGAAACUUUGUGUGUAUGUGCAUAUUUUGGAUGAAAAGAUCCAUAAUGUUCAUCACAUUUUCGAAAGGGUACAUGUUAAGUGUUUAAGAACCACAAACACAAAACCCUAAUCCUUAACAUGACAGGUGAGGCCCUACACAGUCCAGACUAACCAACCUCUCUUGAGCCGCAUCUCCUGCCAGUCGGCUCUCCCCAUCUCCCCUACUCAGUGAACGUUAAAUUCCAGCCACAGAACUUCUCAUCCCAUCUCAAACAUGCUGUAAGCUCUUUAAUCUCGCUCUGAUUGAACACAUGCCUUUCUCUCUGCCAGGAAUGUUGCUCCUCCUUUGCCACUUCCUCUGUCCCUUCUCUGCCUGGUGAAUUUGCUUUUAUCCUUUAAGACUCAGCAAUAACAUCACCUCUGUGGCCCCCUCCCUCCUUCCCGGUGGUUCUCCUCAACCAUUUCCUGAGCAAUCCAUACACCAAUGUCUGUGGAAUUCACCCUUUGGUAUAGACAUUGUUUGCUCAUAUACUGCUCUAUUCCACUUGUUUGUGAAUUCUUGAAAGCGCAGACCAUGCCCCUCACCACUCCAAACCAUAACUUGGAAUAUAACAGACAAUAAUAAUAUUGAUGCAACCAGUGAGGAAUGAAUUACUCCAUUUAUUAGCUUGGCCAAUUGUCUCUUGGAUCUUACAGAGAACCUGACCCUGGGAGACUGGGAUAUUCAUAACUAGGUUUCCUGUUCAGGUUGUUAGAAUCUGUCCUGGUUUAAAUGUACAGUUCUGAUUCCUAUACAUCUUUUA